UACGGGGGGGGCAAGCGUUGUUCGGAAUUACUGGGCGUAAAGGGCUCGUAGGCGGCCAACUAAGUCGGACGUGAAAUCCCCAGGCUCAACCUGGGAACUGCGUCUGAUACUGGUUGGCUUGAAUCCGGGAGAGGGAUGCAGAAUUCCAGGUGUAGCGGUGAAAUGCGUAGAUAUCUGGAGGAAUACCGGUGGCGAAGGCGGCAUCCUGGACCGGCAUUGACGCUGAGGAGCGAAAGCUAGGGGAGCAAACGGG
rnacentral:rRNA from 1 species